ensembl:lncRNA novel transcript
GCUGGUCUCACCGCUAGGGCCUGGGCAUCACAGGCAGGGGGAAUGGGGAGGGGACGGUAGCGUCAGCCUACACCCACACGCAGGUUAGAGCCUUGGACGGGGAAGCGGAAAAGGCUUAGCAGCUACUAAUGGGUUCUAUUAAUAGUAGUAGUGUUAGGUAGGCUGCACUGGCUGUAUUCUGCCCCCAUGCCUAUCAUUCCCUCACUCUGUGACCCUGGGCGAGUCUCUUCCUCAUCCUGGUGCUCAGUUGCCUUUUCAUAAAGAAAGGGUUGAUUCCCCAUGAUCUGUUGACUCCUUUGCUUUUGGAUAUUUUGGAAGACGCCCUGCGUCACGGGCUAGUUAAUUGUGAACGUCAGGGAAAGCACCAGAGUAGAGAAGCACUUCCAGGAUCCAGAGCCAGGAGGAUGCUCAAAAGGAAGGGAGGAGAGAUGCCCUUCGGCCAAAGGGAGAGCUUGGAGGGUGAGGGGAAGUGGUUGCUUACCAGAAGGGCCUCGGAGUGUGAACUCAAAAGAUAGAGGAUGGCCGAGCGUGGAGGCUCAUGCCUGUAAUUUCAGCACUUUGGGAGGCCGAGGCGGGCAGAUCACUUGAGGACAGGAGUUCGAGACCAGCCUGGCCAAUAUGACGAGACCCCAUCUCUACUAAAAAUACAAAAAUUAGUCAGGCGUCAUAGCAGGCACCUGUAAUCCCAGCUACUUGGCUACUUGGGAGGCUGAGGCAUGAGAAUCACUUGAACCUGGGAGGUGGAGCUGCAGUGAGCCGAGAUUGCACCACUGCACUCCAGCCUGGGCGACACAGUGAGACCCUGUCUUAAAAAAAUAAUAAUAAUAGAGGAAGCGUUUUGGUCCACUGUCCACUCACACAGGGUUAGGCGGAGAGGAAAAAGCUACUGAGACUGAAGAAUGCCCUUUAACCCCACUUACUGGUUGUUUUGAUUCUUUCCUGUAGUUUCCUGAUAAAAGGUCCUUUGGAAACUUUGAUUCUCUUCUCACCAAGUUGAACGGAGAUGUGUUCCCAUAGUAAGAGUGAGGCCCCUGCAUUUGCUGCCCUCGGUUUUCCCAACUAACACCAGGGCCUCCCCCCUGUACCCCAUUCAUAUGCCUCAGAAGCUGACAAUGACUGUUGGGCUUUUCCAAUGAAUACCAGAACACCAUUUCCUGCAGCCUGAAAAGAAGACAGUAUAAUUGUUUGGCAGCAAGAGGUGAGCAUGGGUAAGGAGGGCGGAACUCUUUCACUCAUACCCACGCCUCCUCCUCUCUCCUUUCCUUUUCCCCAUAUUCUUUCUCCCCAGCCCUUCCCUCCUCCCACCUCCUGACUCUAGCCCAGGCCAGCGAAAUUUUUUCCACUUUUCACUCCCGCCUGAGAAUUUCCGGGGGCCUGAAAGAAGACCUGUUCCCUAGCACUAGUUCAUCGUCUGCUCCACUGAGAAAUAACCAGCUACCAGAAAGUUUGAGAAAUUGAUUUGCAGAAAGAGGGCACCAAAUCAGUUUAGAGUCAGGGUCUGUAGUCAGUAGAGUUGGCAAAUGCCAUUUCCCUGACCCACUGGGUAUCUGAAUACUUGUCAUUGGCCCUUGAGAGCUCAUCAACUGUGGAUGUGCAAUAAGCUUGUCCAGGACCAAAAGUGUCUCUUGCUGCUUAAAUAUCCACCAAAAAGAUUCCACUUGUCAAAGCACCUGCCUCCCUGCACUGACUUCUUUUACCUUCUGUCUCUUUUUUCUCACUUUCACACUGUUCUCUUUUUCUCUUUUCCUGUGCCCUUCUCUCUCUCUGGUUUGAUUUCUUUUUUCCAGGCCAAGCAGGAAACUAGAGAUAUGGUGACGGUAGUGGUCCCAGGGAGGAGCUUUAACCUGAGCACCACCCACAGAAGGCAGACCACCCUCCCAGCCGCAGUGCAAAUGAAUGUUGGCCCCCACCCAGGUCCCCAAGUGCUUUCCCAGUCACGCCCCAGCUGCCAGGUUUUUUUCUCCAGGCCUACUACAGAUGGGUUACCCUGACUCCACCCCCAACACCCUCCAAUGAUUAGAACCACUGACUCCUCCCUCCCAUGCCUGCCUCCAUGGCAGGCCCCUGCAGAAACCAAACAUAGUCACCUUAGACUCUGGCAUACUGAGACCAGGGCUUGAUCCUGGCCCCCUUGCCUCCCUGGCAAUUUAUCAUUUAAUAAAAAUAUUGUUAAAAAAUAUUCAUGCGUCUAAAAUAUGUGUAUUGUUUCAGAAUGUAGCAUCAAAUUACAUCCCAGCUACCCGGGAGGCUGAGGCAGGAGACUCGCUUGAACCCAGGAGGCGGAGGUUGCAGUAAGCUGAGAUUGCGCCACUGCACUCCAGCCUGGGCGACAAGAGUGAAACUCCGUCUUAAAAUAAAAAUUUUAAAAAAUUGGUUUCCCUGGGCACAGGACAUUGCACCGGAUUGGGGAGCAUUUCCCCUACUCUGUUAGGACAUUAUGUAACAAAGACUGAGGGUUCUUGUGUUAUUUAUAACAAAAGGCCAAAAAUAGUUACAUUUGAGUUGGUUCAUGUAGUGAACUAUUGUGUAGCUGUUAAAAGGCAUUUGAAGACUUUUUCAUGACAGAAGGAAAAAGGCAUAUUCCAAAACUGUAUGUACAGUAUGUUCAUAAUUUUAUAAAGUAUCUAUGUGCAUAGGAACUUUGCAGAAAGACACCAAAAUCUCCAGAAGUUGGAAUUCUGGCUGAUUUUUAUUUUAUCAUUUUUUUUUAUUUUCCACAAUGAACAUUAUUAUCAUGAGAAUAAAAGAAAUCCCAUAUUAUAAAA